ACGCUCGACACCUACGGGGGCAGCAGUGGGGAAUAUUGCACAAUGGGGGAAACCCUGAUGCAGCGACGCCGCGUGAGUGAAGAAGUAUUUCGGUAUGUAAAGCUCUAUCAGCAGGGAAGAGAAUGACGGUACCUGACUAAGAAGCCCCGGCUAACUACGUGCCAGUAGCCGCGGUAAUCUGAGCGGGCUGGCAAGGC
rnacentral:rRNA from 1 species